rnacentral:rRNA from 1 species
CCCUGCCAUUUGUACACACCGCCCGUCGCUUCAACCGAUUGGAUGAUCCGGCAAAUUACACGGACUUCUGCAGUCGCUGGUACUUCGUAUCGCUCUGCGGGAGGAAGUGUCGUGAGCCUUAUCAUCUA